GUCUUUUUGUUAAUUAUUUAAGGUUUGGCCUGCUCCAUGAUUAAAUUAAAUAGCCGCAGUAUAUUGACUGUGCAAAGGUAGCAUAAUCAUUAGUUUUUUAAUUGAAAGCUGGAAUGAAGGGCUGGAUGAGAAAGAAUCUGUCUCAUUUUAAUUUUAUUUGAAUUUUAUUUUUAAGUUAAAAAGCUUAAAUUUUAUAGGAAGACGAGAAGACCCUAUAGAGUUUAAUAAGUUGGAAUUUGAUUGCUUGAGGGUUUUAAUGUGAUUAUUUUUUUGCUUGUUUGGUUGGGGUGACGUAAGAAUUGAACAAACUUCUUAUAAUUUUAACAUUGAUUUAUGAAUAGAUGAUCCUGAAUUUUGGAUUUAAAGAUAAAAUUACCUUAGGGAUAACAGCGUAAUCUUUUUGGAGAGUUCAAAUCGAUAAAGAGGAUUGCGACCUCGAUGUUGGAUUAAAGUUAAGUUUUGGUGCAGAAGCUAAAAUUUUGAGUCUGUUCGACUCUUGAAACUUUACAUGAUCUGAGUUUAAACCGGCGUGAGCCAGGUUGGUUUCUAUCUUUUAUAGAUAAAAUAUUUUAGUACGAAAGGACCAGAUAUUUAAAUAAUAUUUUCUAUUGGAAUAGGAUUGUUAUCUUGGCAGAUUAGUGCAAUGGAUUUAGAAUCUUUAUAUGUAAUAGAUUACAGGUAACAAUUUAUUUUAUUGAUUUGGUUGUAUUGUUUAUUUCGGCGUUGAUUUUGGUUGUAUGUGUUUUAGUGGGAGUGGCUUUUCUAACACUUUUAGAGCGUAAAGUUUU
rnacentral:rRNA from 1 species